GCAUCCAUGGCUGAAUGGUGAAAGCGCCCACCAACCUAGAAAGGAAAAAUGGGUCAAAAGUAGGUUCGAUUCCUGCCGGAUGCA
rfam:Triticum aestivum genome assembly, contig: Triticum_aestivum_CS42_TGACv1_scaffold_160249_2DL